UGAACUUUCCUGCUGCUACUAUUAGAAUCUAGAUGGGAUACUCUACAAUGUCUCAAUGUUUUUUCAUGUUGGCCCCAUCAAUAUCUGUCGUCAUUCGGCAAUCCCGUUCUUUCCCAAGUCUACUAUAUCAAGGUUUGUUGGUUAGGCCGUGCGUAUGCCAUUGAUGCACGUUGCAUCUGCCUCUCUCCGGCCUGAGAAGCUGCAGAAGUGUCCACGGAACCGGGAGAUCUGCAUCCGGACGCUGAGGGAUUGGGGACUAAAUACAUUCGGUCUACGAGAGAGGAACCAGAGAAUAAGGUUGAAUACACUGCUUUUGUGCGACAACUCACUAUCUAAGAUUGAGACCAAACGAAUUGUCGAUUGCACCGCGUCUAUCGCUCAUCCAGAGAAAGCCGCCUUGCCGCGUAUCAUAUCCAACUGGGACCUAUCAAAAUGUUAAAGUGAUCUGUGGUACAGCGCAACCGAUUUCGAUCUAAUGCAUAAUGAUCUGUUAUAUUGGGCGAUACCACAAUAAUGACUGGAGAUUAUUGUAAGGACGUAGUUCUGGAAGGGUGCAGUUGGACGACAACGUGCUGGGCCGGGAAACGGAGUGUCUGCAGGUCGCUGAAGAAGCUAUGCAGGAGGCCACGACGACAGGGAGAGAUCAUGCUGCUGGAGUACUAAUGUCUCUUUGUAGCUAUUCUUCAUCAGAGUGAAUCUGACGACUCUCGCAACCUGCGGUCGAUCGUCACCUGUAAUCCCGACGACUAGUUAUUCCCGGCAGCAUAUUCGGCGCCAUGCAAAAUCGUCUCUCAGGAUAAUAUUUCACGAAGCCAUCGUCCAGUAGUGUUGAGUGGAUAUCCCGCAGUAGCCAGGUGGUUAAUUCACUAGGGUAUGUAGCUUGACUAUUGUGUCGACUCCAAUUCCCCAAUUCGGUCUCUUGCAGUGCUUCUAGAAUAUUGCUUCAGUCGUGUAUCGUAUAGCGUAAACUUGCUUUUUCUUCUCUUAUUCAUUCUGCUGGCGAAUUGCUUUUUCUGUCAUGUGGAGUUCUUCAGGUGUUUUCGGAAACAGAAAGUAGGGUUAGUUGCAGUGGAAAAAAUCUCCUGGCGCGUCUAAUUCACCAAAACUUGCAUUAGUAGAAUGCACUCCUCUAGUCUCUUGCAGCAGGGCCCAUGCA
rnacentral:lncRNA from 1 species